CCUACGGGAGGCAGCAGUGGGGGAUAUUGCACAAUGGGGGGAACCCUGAUGCAGCGACGCCGCGUGGGUGAAGAAGCGCCUCGGCGCGUAAAGCCCUGUCAGCAGGGAAGAAAAUGACGGUACCUGAAGCAGAAGCCCCGGCUAAGUACGUGCCAGCAGCCGCGGUAAUACGGAGGGGGCAAGCGUUAUCCGGAUUUACUGGGUGUAAAGGGGGCGGAGACGGCGAUGCAAGCCAGGAGUGAAAGCCCGGGGCCCAACCCCGGGAGUGCUCUUGAAACUGCGUGGCUGGAGUGCAGGAGGGGCAGGCGGAAUUCGUGGUGUAGCGGUGAAAUGCGUAGAUAUCAGGAGGAACACCGAUGGCGAAGGCGGUCUGCUGGACUGCAACUGACGUUGAGGCCCGAAAGCGUGGGGAGCAAACAGGAUUAGAUACCCCUGUAGUC
rnacentral:rRNA from 1 species